GGGGAUUUAGCUCAGGGGUAGAGCGCCUGCUUUGCACCCAGUUGCACUUGCAUGAGGCCGUGGGUUCAAGCCCCACAAUCUCCA